GAAUGAUUCAGUUUGAAUUCAGGAGUUCCUUGUUGGAUACAGACUCAGACGCACUCACUAGUCGCUACAUCUUAUAGCUAGACUUCCCAUUCUGGGCCAGCUUAAGUCUUGAUGGGAUUGGGCCGGCGCUUGGGAUUGGGCGAGUCUUCGACUGAAGCCUGGGAGCCGGCGCCUUCUUCUGGAAGAGCAUCAGGUUUGUUGGGCUUGCGCCGGCGCUUGGGCUUGGGCGAGUCUUCGACUGAAGCCUGGGAGCUGGCGCCUUCUUCUGGAAGAGCAUCAGGAUGGCCCGAGGUUGCGGCAGUGCGAACAGUAUUUGGCUAGACCAGAAAUGCAUAAAAUUAUGUCAACCUAUUGCCAUGAACCAAAAAAAAGUAUUUUCCACUAACCUUGGAGGAAGAAAAGAAACACUCAUGCAACAUUCUGGUC
rnacentral:lncRNA from 1 species